rnacentral:rRNA from 1 species
AUUGAACGCUGGCGGCAUGCUUUACACAUGCAAGUCGAACGGUAACAGGGACUUCGGUCUGCUGACGAGUGGCGAACGGGUGAGUAACAUAUCGGAACGUGCCCAGUAAUGGGGGAGUAGCUCGGCGAAAGCCGGAUUAAUACCGCAUACGCCCUGAGGGGGAAAGGUAGGGGGAGUCUUCGGACCUCACGUUAUUGGAGCGGCCGAUAUCAGAUUAGCUAGUUGGUGGGGUAAAGGCCGUACCAAGGCGACGAUCUGUAGCUGGUCUGAGAGGAUGAUCAGCCACACUGGGACUGAGACACGGCCCAGACUCCUACGGGAGGCGAGCAGUGGGGAAUUUUGGACAAUGGGCGAAAGCCUGAUCCAGCCAUGCCGCGUGAGUGAAG